rnacentral:lncRNA from 1 species
GGCUGUCACAACGACAGUAAACCGGAUUUAUUAACAUUUAUUUGUAUCCUGCCAAUAUCACAAGAACCAUAACUGAUGAACGGUGAAAGUGAAAAUCGUCAAUAUCAAAUUUGACCUCCAUUUUGUCAUCAGUAUCAACAUAUUAAAAUUUGAAAAGCUUCGGUUGAAUGGUUCAUGAGUAAAUGCACGGACACGACUGGAAAAGCC